AGUCGAGGGGCAGCGGGAGUACAAUACUUGCCGGCGACCGGCGCACGGGUGCGUAACACGUAUAUAAUCUACCUAAAACUGGAGGAUAGCCCGAAGAAAUUCGGAUUAAUACUCCAUAACAUUGCGAGAUGGCAUCAUUUUGCAAUUAAAGCUCCGGCGGUUUUGGAUGAGUAUGCGUUCGAUUAGCUAGUUGGUGAGGUAACGGCUCACCAAGGCGACGAUCGAUAGGGGUACUGAGAGGUUACACCCCCACACUGGUACUGAGACACGGACCAGACUCCUACGGGAGGCAGCAGUAAGGAAUAUUGGACAAUGGUCGCAAGACUGAUCCAGCCAUGCCGCGUGCAGGAUGACUGCCCUAUGGGUUGUAAACUGCUUUUGUACGGGAAUAAACCCUUCUACGUGUAGAAGGCUGAAUGUACCGUAAGAAUAAGGAUCGGCUAACUUCGUGCCAGCAGCCGCGGUAAGACGAAGGAUCCAAGCGUUAUCCGGAUUUAUUGGGUUUAAAGGGUGCGUAGGCGGAUUGAUAAGUCAGUGGUGAAAGCCUGUUGCUUAACAACAGAACUGCCAUUGAUACUGUCAAUCUUGAAUAUGUUUGAUGUGGGCGGAAUAUGACAUGUAGCGGUGAAAUGCUUAGAUAUGUCAUAGAACACCGAUUGCGAAGGCAGCUCACAAAGCCAUUAUUGACGCUGAGGCACGAAAGCGUGGGGAUCAAACAGGAUUAGAUACCCUGGUAGUCCACGCUGUGAACUUUGAUCACUCGCUGUUGGCGAUACACUGUCAGCGGCUAAGCGAAAGCGUUAAG
rnacentral:rRNA from 1 species